rnacentral:lncRNA from 1 species
AUUUUACAGCUGAGAAGGAAAUUAUGCAGCCUGUAGGAUAAAUUCCUCUCCUGGCAGAUUGAGUGGAUGUAGCACCAGAAGCUCCCAGAAUAAUCACAACUUCAAAGGUCAUAGUGAAUUUCCUAAACAAAUAGAAGCAUGAGGAGCAGAGCAAGUUCCAUGCCAAUCAAGACAGGAAGCUGAGAAGAGAACAUAGAAGAUAAAGACAAGAAAGUAGGCUCAAAAUUAUUUCCCUGUGCAAUCCUUCUACAGAGAGGCCAGCCUCUAAAGCUGCCAAGCGGGAGAGAUGGACUCUGCUGUGAGCUUUUCAGAGAGAAGGUUCUCAGGAUAGGUAAGUAGAAAUGUCUUCUACUUCUACAUAGAAAUGUGUUUCUAUGUGGUAAUGAGAAAAGAUUUAAGCAAUAUUUACUACAUGUUUUUCUCCUUCAGUCAUUGAAGACUUGAUUAAACCUAUGUUGCUAGUCCCUGUGGUAAUAC